GACGAACGCUGGCGGCGUGCUUAACACAUGCAAGUCGAACGGUGAAGCGCCUUCCUUUUUGGUGGGUGUGGAUGAGUGGCGAACGGGUGAGUAACACGUGAGUAACCUGCCUCCUUCUUCUGGAUAACCGCAUGAAAGUGUGGCUAGUACGGGAUAUUCUGGGUCUGUCGCAUGAUGGGUCUGGGAAAGAUAUUGUUUCGGUGGGGGAUGGGCUCGCGGCCUAUCAGCUUGUUGGUGGGGUGAUGGCCUACCAAGGCGGUGACGGGUAGCCGGCCUGAGAGGUUGGACGGCCACACUGGGACUGAGACACGGCCCAGACUCCUACGGGAGGCAGCAGUGGGGAAUAUUGCACAAUGGGCGCAAGCCUGAUGCAGCGAGGCCGCGUGAGGGAUGGAGGCCUUCGGGUUGUGACCCUCUUUCGCCAGUGAAGCAGGCCUGCUCGUUUGUGGGUGGGUUGACGGUAGCUGGAUAAGAAGCGCCGGCUAACUACGUG
rnacentral:rRNA from 1 species